rnacentral:rRNA from 1 species
UAGGGAAUCUUCGGCAAUGGACGAAAGUCUGACCGAGCAACGCCGCGUGAGUGAAGAAGGUUUUCGGAUCGUAAAACUCUGUUGUUAGAGAAGAACAAGGACGUUAGUAACUGAACGUCCCCUGACGGUAUCUAACCAGAAAGCCACGGCUAACUACGUGCCAGCAGCCGCGGUAAUACGUAGGUGGCAAGCGUUGUCCGGAUUUAUUGGGCGUAAAGCGAGCGCAGGCGGUUUCUUAAGUCUGAUGUGAAAGCCCCCGGCUCAACCGGGGAGGGUCAUUGGAAACUGGGAGACUUGAGUGCAGAAGAGGAGAGUGGAAUUCCAUGUGUGCGGUGAAAUGCGUAGAUAUAUGGAGGAACACCAGUGGCGAAGGCGGCUCUCUGGUCUGUAACUGACGCUGAGGCUCGAAAGCGUGGGGAGCAAACAGG